CGCUUUUUGCAGUGGCAGUAUCAUAGCCGAUGAGGUUUAGCCAACGUAUGGUUAUUGCUAAUUGGAAACUUUUCCCAGGACCCCACCCCGAAGACUUGCAAUAUAGUCGGCACUGGCAAUUUUUGACAGUCUAUGGAGAC
ensembl:snRNA U4 U4 spliceosomal RNA